rfam:Candidate division Kazan bacterium RBG_13_50_9 RBG_13_scaffold_30, whole genome shotgun sequence.
GCCAGCGUAGCUCAGUGGUAGAGCAGUGGACUCAUAAGCCAUUGGUCACAGGUUCGAAUCCUGUCGCUGGCA